rnacentral:rRNA from 1 species
GACGAACGCUGGCGGCGUGCUUAACACAUGCAAGUCGAGCGGUAAGGCCCUUUCGGGGGUACACGAGCGGCGAACGGGUGAGUAACACGUGGGUGACCUGCCCUCAGCUCUGGGAUAAGCCUGGGAAACCGGGUCUAAUACUGGAUAUGACUCCAUGACGCAUGUUGUGGGGUGGAAAGCCUUGUGCGGCUGAGGAUGGGCCCGCGGCCUAUCAGCUUGUUGGUGGGGUGANGGCCUACCAAGGCGACGACGGGUAGCCGGCCCGAGAGGGCGACCGGCCACACUGGGACUGAGACACGGCCCAGACUCCUACGGGAGGCAGCAGUGGGGAAUCUUGCGCAAUGGGCGAAAGCCUGACGCAGCGACGCCGCGUGAGGGAUGACGGCCUGGUGUAACGU